UGCGUACAGAUGACGACCGGCGCACGGGUGCGUAACGCGUAUGAAACCUGCCUUUUACUGGGGGAUAGCCCGAAGAAAUUCGGAUUAAUACCCCAUAAUAAUAAUUGAUGGCAUUAUUAAUUAUUUAAAACUCCGGUGGUAAAAGAUGGUCAUGCGUGACAUUAGCUAGUUGGUAAGGUAACGGCUUACCAAGGCAACGAUGUCUAGGGGUUCUGAGAGGAAGGUCCCCCACACUGGUACUGAGACACGGACCAGACUCCUACGGGAGGCAGCAGUGAGGAAUAUUGGUCAAUGGACGCAAGUCUGAACCAGCCAUGUCGCGUGCAGGAAGACUGCCCUAUGGGUUGUAAACUGCUUUUAUACGGGAAGAAUUGUAGCUACGAGUAGUUAUUUGCCGGUACCGUAUGAAUAAGCAUCGGCUAACUCCGUGCCAGCAGCCGCGGUAAUACGGAGGAUGCGAGCGUUAUCCGGAUUCAUUGGGUUUAAAGGGUGCGUAGGCGGAAUAGUAAGUCAGGGGUGAAAGUUUGCGGCUCAACCGUAAAAUUGCCUUUGAUACUGUUAUUCUUGAGUACAUUUGAGGUAGGCGGAAUGUGUUGUGUAGCGGUGAAAUGCUUAGAUAUAACACAGAACACCGAUUGCGAAGGCAGCUUACUAAACUGUAACUGACGCUGAUGCACGAAAGCGUGGGGAUCGAACAGGAUUAGAUACCCUGGUAGUCCACGCCGUAAACGAUGAUAACUAGUUGUUUGCAAUAGACCGUAAGCGACAAAGCGAAAGCAUUAAGUUAUCCACCUGGGGAGUACGUUGGCAACAAUGAAACUCAAAGGAAUUGACGGGGGCCCGCACAAGCGGAGGAACAUGUGGUUUAAUUCGAUGAUACGCGAGGAACCUUACCUGGACUUAAAUGUAGAGUGACAGCUUUAGAGAUAGAGUCUUCUUCGGACACUUUACA
rnacentral:rRNA from 1 species